GAUGAACGCUGGCGGCGUGCCUAAUACAUGCAAGUCGAACGAGGUGCUUUUGUAGCAAUACGAGAGUAUCCUAGUGGCGAACGGGUGAGUAACGCGUGGAUGACCUGCCCCAAAGUAGUGGGAUAACAGUCCGAAAGGAUUGCUAAUACCUCAUGUGGUUAUCGGUUUUAGUAAAGCGAUAACUAAAGCAGCAAUGCGCUUUGGGAGGGAUCUGCGUCCCAUCAGCUAGUUGGUGAGGUAACGGCUCACCAAGGCGACGACGGGUAGGGGACCUGAGAGGGUGGCCCCCCACAAUGGAACUGAAACACGGUCCAUACACCUACGGGUGGCAGCAGUAGGGAAUAUUGCUCAAUGGGCGAAAGCCUGAAGCAGCAACGCCGCGUGUGCGAUGAAGGCCUUCGGUCGUAAGACACUUUCUAAGAGAUGAGAAAGGACAGUAUCUUAGGAAUAAGUACUCGGCGUAACUACGUGCCAGCAGCGCCGGUAAUGUAUCGUACG
rnacentral:rRNA from 1 species